GUGGGCGUGGUGUAUGGUACACGGCUGUGUUCAACUUGCACUGUAAGAAGCUGUUCAGACAGUAGUUCCGGGUUCGACUCCCGGCGCCCGCA